rnacentral:rRNA from 1 species
AACGUAGGACACAAGCGUUAUCCGGAGUUACUGGGCGUAAAGGGCGUGUAGGCGGAUCGGUAAGUCUACUCUGAAAGCUCCUGGCUAAACUGGGAGAGGCGAGUGGAGACUGUCGGUCUAGAGUGAGGAAGAGGAAAGUGGAAUUCCGCGUGUAGUGGCGAAAUGCGUAGAGAAUGCGGAGGAACACCAGUGGCGAAAGCGGCUUUCUGGUCCUUAACUGACGCGUGAGGCGGCGAAAAGCAUGGGGAGCGAACGGG